CCUACGGGAGGCUGCAGUGGGGAAUAUUGGACAAUGGGGGCAACCCUGAUCCAGCCAUGCCGCGUGUGUGAAGAAGGCCCUCGGGUUGUAAAGCACUUUCAGUGAGGAAGAACGCCUGGUGGUUAAUACCCAUCAGGAAAGACAUCACUCACAGAAGAAGCACCGGCUAACUCCGUGCCAGCAGCCGCGGUAAUACGGAGGGUGCGAGCGUUAUUCGGAAUUACUGGGCGUAAAGCGCGCGUAGGUGGCUUGAUAAGCCGGUUGUGAAAGCCCCGGGCUCAACCUGGGAACGGCAUCCGGAACUGUCAAGCUAGAGUGCAGGAGAGGAAGGUAGAAUUCCCGGUGUAGCGGUGAAAUGCGUAGAGAUCGGGAGGAAUACCAGUGGCGAAGGCGGCCUUCUGGACUGACACUGACACUGAGGUGCGAAAGCGUGGGUAGCAAACAGGAUUAGAUACCCCUGUAGUC
rnacentral:rRNA from 1 species